AGUGAACGCUGGCGGUAUGCCUAACGCAUGCAAGUCGAACGGCAGCACAGUAAGAGCUUGCUCUUACGGGUGGCGAGUGGCGGACGGGUGAGGAAUACAUCGGAAUCUACUUUUUCGUGGGGGAUAACGUAGGGAAACUUACGCUAAUACCGCAUACGACCUACGGGUGAAAGCAGGGGAUCUUCGGACCUUGCGCGAUUGAAUGAGCCGAUGUCGGAUUAGCUAGUUGGCGGGGUAAAGGCCCACCAAGGCGACGAUCCGUAGCUGGUCUGAGAGGAUGAUCAGCCACACUGGAACUGAGACACGGUCCAGACUCCUACGGGAGGCAGCAGUGGGGAAUAUUGGACAAUGGGCGAAAGCCUGAUCCAGCCAUACCGCGUGGGUGAAGAAGGCCUUCGGGUUGUAAAGCCCUUUUGUUGGGAAAGAAAAGCAGCAGGUUAAUACCCCGCUGUUCUGACGGUACCCAAAGAAUAAGCACCGGCUAACUUCGUG
rnacentral:rRNA from 1 species